UAGGGAAUCUUCGGCAAUGGACGAAAGUCUGACCGAGCAACGCCGCGUUAGUGAAGAAGGUUUUCGGAUCGUAAAACUCUGUUGUUAGAGAAGAACAAGGACGUUAGUAACUGAACGUCCCCUGACGGUAUCUAACCAGAAAGCCACGGCUAACUACGUGCCAGCAGCCGCGGUAAUACGUAGGUGGCAAGCGUUGUCCGGAUUUAUUGGGCGUAAAGCGAGCGCAGGCGGUUUCUUAAGUCUGAUGUGAAAGCCCCCGGCUCAACCGGGGAGGGUCAUUGGAAACUGGGAGACUUGAGUGCAGAAGAGGAGAGUGGAAUUCCAUGUGUAGCGGUGAAAUGCGUAGAUAUAUGGAGGAACACCAGUGGCGAAGGCGGCUCUCUGGUCUGUAACUGACGCUGAGGCUCGAAAGCGUGGGGAGAAAAAAGG
rnacentral:rRNA from 1 species